UACGUAGGUGGCAAGCGUUGUCCGGAAUUAUUGGGCGUAAAGCGCGCGCAGGCGGUCCUUUAAGUCUGAUGUGAAAGCCCACGGCUCAACCGUGGAGGGUCAUUGGAAACUGGGGGACUUGAGUGCAGGAGAGAAGAGUGGAAUUCCACGUGUAGAGGUGAAAUUCGUAGAUAUUGGGAAGAACACCGGUGGCGAAGGCGGCUCACUGGCUCAUAUCUGACGCUCAGGCGCGACAGCGUGGGGAUCAAACAGG
rnacentral:rRNA from 1 species